CAAAGUUUAGUCCCUAAUCUAGUAAAAUCGCUCAUUUUGGUCUGGAAAAUUACCGUCCCCUUCCAAUCAGCUCUCAUAAUCAAAAGCUUCUUCCUUUGUUGCCCAGGAUCUAAGUGUCGUGGUGUUUUGGGACUGGAGCGGAGGAGCUACCGCUGGAUUCAUAUUGGGAACCUUAAUGAUGGCUAAUCCAAACACAUCAACAUCGAUAGUCUCUUUAGAAUCCUCUGAAGAAAAGGCCACAGAUAUAGAGGAUUUAAACAUGAACAUGGCUAAACUUUCUUUAAGCCAUCAAAGCCUAAUCACAUAUGGUCCUAUCUCUAUCUUUUGGGACAUUGAGAAUUGCUCUGUUCCUAUAAAUGUCUCCACUGAACUCGUAGCAGUUAAUGUCAGGAAUGCUUUGCGGAGUAACCCUCUAAUUAAAGGAGGAAUUAAAAUGUUUUCUGCCUAUGCAGAUUUUAGAGAAUUCCCCCAGCAACACAGAGAGAACUUUCAGAAAAGUGGUGUCAGACUCGUAUAUAUUCCAAAGGGGAGAAAGAAUGCUCUUGACAAUACUAUAUUGGUGGACAUGUUUGUUUUUGCCCUGGACAACCCCCCACCUUCUUCCAUCAUGUUGAUAUCUAGCAAUGUAAAUUUUUCUGCAGCUCUUCACAUACUUGGUCAACGUGAAUAUAAUAUAAUCCUUGUCACACUAGAAGAUGCUUCAGCUGCCCUCACUAACGCUGCUAAGUUUGUUUGGGACUGGCCUAGUGUGGCUUGUGGGCGAGGCCUCGUUAGCCCCCACCAAGGUUGAAGGAGCAGCUAGCGUAAUGGAGAUGGGUGACGUAAUGGAGCUAGUGGGGAAGGACGAGAAUGGAGGAUAAAAGAAAGGGGAUCCUGGGAAGCUCAACUCUGCAAUAGAGUACUUGAUAUGACUUUUACAAGAAGGAAGAUAGCGUAGAUAGUUAUAAGCUCAAUUUUGUAAUAGACUUGAUUUUUGACUUCUAAUACGGAAGAUA